GGCGAAUAGUGUAGAGCACUUGGGAUUAGCAUGGUGUAAGGGUAGAUGGGAGUGUGCGGUUUGGGAUGGGCGAUUUGGAGCCCGUUGGUGGGGGUGGUUUGAGCCGCCGAUGUUGGUGGCGUGAGGAGGUGGUAUGUGUGUGUGUGUGGCCUAACAAGGUCGAGAAGUGUAGGAGAGUGUAUGAGUCACGGGUGUUGGUGACGGGAGGUGGAAACGCUUGUGUGUGUGCGUGGCCCACGAGGUUGAGAGUUGGAGGAGUGAGUAUGAGUCACCGAUGUUGGUGACGCGAGAUGAUGGUGUUUGUGUGUGUGUGUGGCCUUUCUAGGUCGAGAGUUGGAGGAGUGAGUAUGAGUCGCCGAUGUUGGUGACGCGAGAUGAUGGUGUUUGUGUGUGUGUGUGGCCUUUCUAGGUCGAGAGUGGGAGGAGUGAGUAUGAGUCGCCGAUGUUGGUGACGCGAGAUGAUGGUGUUUGUGUGUGUGUGUGGCCUUUCUAGGUCGAGAGUUGGAGGAGUGAGUAUGAGUCGCCGAUGUUGGUGACGCGAGAGGAUGGUACUGGUGUGUGUGCGUGGCCUAUUUAGGUCGAGAGGUGGAGGAGUGGAUAUGAGUCGCCGAUAUUGGUGACGUGGAAUGAAGGUGCUUGUGUGUGUGUGUGGACUCAUG
rnacentral:lncRNA from 1 species